rnacentral:rRNA from 1 species
UACGAAGGGUGCAAGCGUUAAUCGGAAUUACUGGGCGUAAAGGGUGCGUAGGCGGUUCGUUAAGUCUGUCGUGAAAUUCCCGGGCUCAACCUGGGAAUGGCGAUGGAUACUGGCGAGCUAGAGUGUGUCAGAGGAUGGUGGAAUUCCCGGUGUAGCGGUGAAAUGCGUAGAGAUCGGGAGGAACAUCAGUGGCGAAGGCGGCCAUCUGGGACAACACUGACGCUGAAGCACGAAAGCGUGGGGAGCAAACAGG